rnacentral:rRNA from 1 species
CCUACGGGAGGCAGCAGUGAGGAAUUUUCCGCAAUGGGCGAAAGCCUGACGGAGCAAUACCGCGUGAGGGAUGAAGGAUUUUGGUCUGUAAACCUCUUUUCUCAAGAAAGAAGUUCUGACGGUACUUGAGGAAUAAGCAUCGGCUAACUCCGUGCCAGCAGCCGCGGUAAUACGGGGGAUGCAAGCGUUAUCCGGAAUGAUUGGGCGUAAAGCGCCUGUAGGUUGUUUAUUAAGUCCGUUGUUAAAGCCUAGGGCUUAACCCUAGAAAAGCAAUGGAAACUAGUAGACUAGAGUAUGGCAGGGGUAGAGGGAAUUUCUAGUGUAGCGGUGAAAUGCGUAGAUAUUAGAAAGAACACCGGUGGCGAAAGCGCUCUACUGGACCAUUACUGACACUCAGAGGCGAAAGCUAGGGUAGCAAAAGGGAUUAGAUACCCCUGUAGUCCUAGCCGUAAACGAUGGAUACUAGAUGUUGUGCAUUAUGUACAGUAUCGUAGCUAACGCGUUAAGUAUCCCGCCUAGGGGAGUACGCUCGCAAGGGUUGAAACCGUUAAAGAGUAAGUACGGACGNGAGAGAGUCGACGACGACGACGAGAGGAGGAG